rnacentral:rRNA from 1 species
AAUGAACGCUGGCGGCAGGCCUAACACAUGCAAGUCGAACGGCAGCACAGUAAGAGCUUGCUCUUGCGGGUGGCGAGUGGCGGACGGGUGCGGUAUGCAUCGGAUUCUACUUUUUCGUGGGGGAUAACAUAGGGUAAUUUCCUCUGAUCACGCAUACAUCCUCCGUGGGUAAGCCGGGGAUCUUCUAGCCUUUCGGGAAUGAAAGAGCCGAUGUCGGCUGAGUUAGUUGGCGGGGUAAAGGCCUAGCAAGGCGACGAUCCGUAGCUGGUCUGGGAGUAUGAUCACCCACACUGGAACUGAGACAGGGUCCAGACUCCUAGGGGAGGCAGCAGUGCGGAAUAUUGGACAAUGGGCGCAAGCCUGAUCCAGCCAUACCGCGUGGGGGAAGAAGGCCUUCUGCCUGGAAAGUCCUGUUGUUCGUAAAGAAAAGCAGCAGGUUAAUACCCCGCGGUUCUGACGGUACCCAAAGAAUAAGCACCGGCUAACUUCGUG